GUGUUCGCUUCAAAGGCACAUAUACCAAAAUUGUAAUGAGAUGGAGAAGGUUAGCGUGGCUCUUGUUCAAGAAUGACAUACAAAUUGGUGAAGAGUUUCAUAUUUUU
ensembl:snRNA U6 U6 spliceosomal RNA